GACGAACGCUGGCGGCGUGCCUAAUACAUGCAAGUCGAGCGCAGGAAGCUCACGGAACUCUUCGGAGGGAAGUGAAGGGAAUGAGCGGCGGACGGGUGAGUAACACGUAAGGAACCUGCCCCAAGGAUUGGGAUAACUCCGAGAAAUCGGAGCUAAUACCGAAUAGUUCUUCAGACCGCAUGGUCUGAUGAUGAAAGGCGCUUCGGCGUCACCUUGGGAUGGCCUUGCGGUGCAUUAGCUAGUUGGUGGGGUAAUGGCCCACCAAGGCGACGAUGCAUAGCCGACCUGAGAGGGUGAUCGGCCACACUGGGACUGAGACACGGCCCAGACUCCUACGGGAGGCAGCAGUAGGGAAUCUUCCACAAUGGACGAAAGUCUGAUGGAGCAACGCCGCGUGAGUGAUGAAGGUUUUCGGAUCGUAAAACUCUGUUGUAAGGGAAGAACAGGUAUGAGAGGUAAUGCUCAUGCUAUGACGGUACCUUGCGAGAAAGCCACGGCUAACUACGUGCCAGCAGCCGCGGUAAUAC
rnacentral:rRNA from 1 species